rnacentral:rRNA from 1 species
AUGGCUCAGGACGAACGCUGGCGGCGUGCUUCAUACAUGCAAGUCGAACGAUAAGGUCUCUUCGGAGAUACAUAAGUGGCGGACGGGUGAGUAAAAUGUAGAGAAUCUGCCCUAGAGAGGGGGACAACAGUUGGAAACGACUGCUAAUACCGCAUAUGCGCGUAGCUGAGAUGCUAUUCGUGAAAACUUCGGUGCUCUGGGAUGAGUCUGCAUCUGAUUAGCUAGUUGGGGGUGUAAUGGACCACCAAGGCGACGAUCAGUAGCUGGUUUGAGAGGAUGAUCAGCCACAAUGGGACUGAGACACGGCCCAUACUCCUACGGGAGGCAGCAGUAGGGAAUUUUGCGCAAUGGGGGAAACCCUGACGCAGCAACGCCGCGUGAUUGAAUAAGCCCUUCGGGGUGUAAAGAUCUGUCAGUGGGGACGAAACUUGACGGUACCCACAGAGGAAGCAUCGGCUAACUCCGUGCCAGCCGCUGC